CGGCGAGUGAGCGGCAAAAGCUCAAAUUUGAAACCCUCGGGAUUGUAAUUUGAAGAUUUGGCAUUGGAGAAAGCUAACCCAAGUUGCUUGGAAUAGUACGUCAUAGAGGGUGACAACCCCGUCUGGCUAACCGUUCUCCAUGUAUUGCCUUAUCAAAGAGUCGAGUUGUUUGGGAAUGCAGCUCAAAGUGGGUGGUAAACUCCAUCUAAAGCUAAAUACUGGUGAGAGACCGAUAGCGAACAAGUACUGUGAAGGAAAGGUGAAAAGAACUUUGAAAAGAGAGUGACUAGUAUGUGAAAUUGUUGAUAGGGAAGGAAAUGAGUGGAGAGUGGCCGAGGUUUCAGCCGCCCCUCGUGGGCGGUGUACUGCCGACGCCGAGUCAUCGAUAGCGAGACGAGGGUUACAAAUGGGAGCGCCUUCGGGCGUUCUCCCCUAACCCUCCACACUGCCACCGACGACAUAAUCCACCCAUUUCACCCGUCUUGAAACACGGACC
rnacentral:rRNA from 1 species